rnacentral:rRNA from 1 species
UACGUAGGGCGCAAGCGUUAUCCGGAAUUAUUGGGCGUAAAGAGCUCGUAGGCGGUUUGUCGCGUCUGCCGUGAAAGUCCGGGGCUCAACUCCGGAUCUGCGGUGGGUACGGGCAGACUAGAGUGAUGUAGGGGAGACUGGAAUUCCUGGUGUAGCGGUGAAAUGCGCAGAUAUCAGGAGGAACACCGGUGGCGAAGGCGGUUCUCUGGGCCGACACUGACACUGAGAGACGAAAGCUAGGGGAGCGAACAGG